AAUCAAACUUGCCUUUCUUCCUUCCGUGUAGUCGGUGGAGGAGAGUUGCAGAGAUGAAGUGUCUCGCUUUGGUUGGUAUAUUUUUAUACACACAGCUAGCGAGUCCUUUUAAAUGGACACGACUUUCUCUUUUUUGUAUCUGCGAGGUGCUGUGCCUGAACGCGGUGAUUUUCGGAUCGCUCGCGGCUGGUGGCGACUUCGGUGAAUGCGUUAUGGAGUGGACCUCGAUUCGCGGUAUGUUGGGCUUCGGCUGGACAAUGUUGCUUAUUGGGUGUUUGUUCCGCGUUCGCCUUGAGGUGUACUGUCGGCUGUGGGAUUGAUUUGUUAGUUGUCGUUAGUAGAGCGCGAUUCCUUGUCGUGGGUGCAUCUGUUGUGUAUGUAUUUACAUUUCAGAAGAGGAGUUUCAAUUUGGGAAAUUAGUGUACUGCGGGUUUAUCCUGCGUGUAUAUCUCAA
rnacentral:misc_RNA from 1 species